rnacentral:rRNA from 1 species
UACGUAGGGUGCGAGCGUUAAUCGGAAUUACUGGGCGUAAAGAGUGUGUAGGCGGUGCUCUAAGUUCGGUGUGAAAUCUCCUGCUUAACUGGGAGGGUGCGCCGGAAACUGGAGUGCUCGAACGUGGGAGAGGAAAGCGGAAUUCCUGGUGUAGCGGUGAAAUGCGUAGAUAUCAGGAGGAACACCUGCGGUGUAGACGGCUUUCUGGACCAUUAUUGACGCUGAGACACGAAAGCGUGGGUAGCAAACAGG